rnacentral:rRNA from 1 species
AAUGAACGUUGGCGGCGUGGAUUAGGCAUGCAAGUCGAGCGAGAAGUCCUUGAAUGAUCCUUCGGGUGAAUGAUUGGAUGGAAAGCGGCGAACGGCGUAGUUAUGGAUAGGUUACGUGCCCUCAGGACGGGAAUAGCCACGGGAAACUGUGGGUAAUGCCCGAUAAUCUCUCCGGAGCAAAUGGUGUGAUUCCGCCUGAGGAGCGGCUUAUUUGGUAUUAGCUUGUUGGUGGGGUAACGGCCUACCAAGGCUUAGAUGCCUAGGGGGUGUGAGAGCAUGGCCCCACGACCGGGACUGAGACACUGCCCGGACAUCUACGGAUGGCUGCAGUCGAGAAUCUUCCGCAAUGGGCGCAAGCCCGACGGAGCGACGCCGCGUGUGGGACGAAGGCCCUUGGGUUGUAAACCACUGUCAGAGGGGAUGAAAUUGUUGAGGGCAAUCCCUCUUCAUUGACAGAGCCUCAGAGGAAGCACGGGCUAAGUACGUG